rnacentral:rRNA from 1 species
UACGGAGGGAGCUAGCGUUGUUCGGAAUUACUGGGCGUAAAGCGCACGUAGGCGGCUUUGUAAGUUAGAGGUGAAAGCCUGGGGCUCAACCCCAGAAUUGCCUUUAAGACCGCAUCGCUUGAAUCCAGGAGAGGUGAGUGGAAUUCCGAGUGUAGAGGUGAAAUUCGUAGAUAUUCGGAAGAACACCAGUGGCGAAGGCGGCUCACUGGACUGGUAUUGACGCUGAGGUGCGAAAGCGUGGGGAGCAAACAGG